AGUGCUGGUGGCUCACACCUAUAAUCCUAGCUACUCAGGAGGCUGAGAUCUGAAGAUCACUAUUUGAAGCCAGCUUGGGAAAACAGGCUCAAUGAAGCAA